AGUGGAGCGGGAGCGGGAAAUGGUGAACCCGCAGCGGAGUGGUUAUUGAAUGCUCGGAGCACGGAGGAGAAAUUGUUGCCGCUCCACUCUGUUCACAUACUCUGGUGGUGGUAGCUGUGAGAGGUUUU